GGUGCCUUCCAACCCCAGCCACUCUGGGAUUCUGCAAUUCCUUUCCAGGCUGGUUUGUAGAAAUGACCAAUGUGUUUAAUUCCAGCAAUUCAAGCAUCUCUUUUUGUCACAGCUCUUCCUCGCUCUGGAAGAAGGCUGUGGGCCCAGCCUCGAGGAAUUUCUGUUCUGCAGCAGUGCCACAUCCAGUUUCUGGAGAAAAUGACUUAAGAGAUCACGGGCCUUGUUUCAUUCCUGCAGUCAACAGAUUUAAACAUUUUGCUGUGAGCCUUCAAAUCACUGCGUUUUUUCCAGCGUAGAAAAAGUAAUUCCAAAUCUACCUGUGCUUUCUGCCUCCAAAACUAACACUCCCUACAGAGCAGCACAGGCAGAGAUACCUGUAUUGCAGGUUUCUGGGACUCGUAUUUUAGGUUUUCCUGUCCUACUCUUAUGACAAACACUUGCACGGGGAGUGAGCGCGAUGCCACUGCUUGCAUUGUAUCCAACCGUGCAAGUUCCAACCUGCUCCUUGGCUUUGGCUUCUCCAGACAAGUCCUGCAGUUACAAACAAUCCCUCACAGGCUGGAUCGGGCACAGAGGAGCAGGAGUUGGUACAUGUUGGCUGCUGGAAUUAGCCCUGCUGCCUGUGAAGGCUGGGAGCUGCUGCUCCUGAGCUAUUAUGCGGCUUUAUCGCAGCGCUGGUUAUGUUGUAACCCUGCAAGUGCUUGAUCUUUUACCCGCCCAGGCACUGCAGGCAUUUUUAAUUAUCUGAGGGUUAAUUUGCACAGGAGCUUUUGCUGAAACAAUAAAUUCAUACCUCUGUUAUUAUCUGGUAUGAGUUUCUGUAUCAAUAUUUAUAUUUGGGUAAAACCAAAGAAGCUUCCUGCUAACAUUAAGACAAAAGAAUUGCUUCAGAGCAGGUUCAGGAGUCAGCCAGCACUAAGAACACCUUCCACUUCUUUGCAGGGAAAGGGAAAUUGUGAUGUGUGGUUGGAGAACACGCAUUCCAAUGCCUCUUUUCUACGCAGGGAUGAGGAGACAGAAACAACUUGUCAGAUGAAAAGCACGUUUUGCAAGGCUUGACAAAUACAGUGUUCACCUGGAGCCAAUGUGGUCUGUGUGAUUUCGAUGCUGGUAGGAUUGUUUCUGUAACUCAUGUUGUAAAACUCUGGUCCAACAGCUCACUCACUCACUGUGUGUUCAUCUUCAUCAGGAAUUUGGUAAUUGCUUCAGUUUAGAGGGGGAACUGCUGUGGUGAUACAUAAGAGGGAAGUAGGGUGAGAGGAUGUGCCAGGAGGGGCUGUCUCUCCCCAUGCUUGUCCCUUCGCUGCUUCCUACCCCCCCAGCCUAAGGUGGAGAGCAAAAAAGCAGGAUACUGGCAGCACUUGAAGAUCUGUAGAAAGUCCAUAUUCUUGCAGGGCAGUGGGAAGCAGAAGGAAGCUGAGGAAGCACAGCUGUUCUUGUCUUGGCAGCACUGCUGUAACCUCAGAAAGGGGUCCCUUCCCCUGGGCAUGGGAUCAGCCUCUCCCACCCCACCACUCCCAUUUCUGUGCCUGUUAUGAGAUGGAUGUUACAGAAUCAAGAGCAGUCCAUGUUCUCAGUCAUUGUUUCCUAAAUAGUGCCAUUAGAAUGGUAAAUUGCAACAGUAAAACAAUGUCAAUAGGAAGUUAUGAAGUUCCCAUUUUAUGAUGCAUUCAUAAAGUUAACUCAAUCUACUAAAAUGUGGCUAUGAUUUCCACACAGUGACCUAUUUGCUAUGGCAGAAGAGAUUCUGAUGAGAAAACAGUUGAGCUUUAAGUGUGCUGGGACUCUGCUUUUACCCGAGUAAAACUCAGCAUAUCCCCUGUUGCAAUAUGUGUUGGAAUAUGCAUAUCAGAAUUUAUUAAACCAGUGCUUGUUUGAUCA